rnacentral:lncRNA from 1 species
CCGCCCCUGGCGCUGCCCCGCCGCAGCCCGGUGGCUCGGAGCCGGCGGCUGAGCUUCAGCAGAAGCCACGGCGUUCAGAAAUGUUGCAACAGCACUUUAGAAGUCUCUAAAGAAAAGCUGAAUUGUUGGAACUUAGGUAACUUAAGGAAACUCGUUAUGACCUACAUUGCUGUUCUGAGUCAGCAGCUGCAGCCCCAGCCCCGGCGGGUCCCGCCGCCACCGCACACCCCGCACCCCUUGGGCGGAGCCGCCCCCCCGCCGCCGCCCGGGCUCACUGCUUCCCGGGUUUACAAACAAGCUCGCCUGGAUCGAGGAUCGAGACGGUUUCACUUCUGCUCUAAGAAUGCCUCCGCUGCUUUUUUUUUUUUUUUUUUUUUUUUCCUCCUCCCAGGUUUGCGGACAGAGCAGCUUGCCUGCCUCUUACCGGCUGGUUUUUGAGGGGGAAAGAGCUUAAGCGGAGGACAAGGUCUUUUCGCCAAGUUUUUAAGAGCUGUACUUUAUAUCCCGAAGGGAUAGUCAUUGUUUUCUCCACCGGGCAAUAGAUGCCUUAUAGGGAAAGGUUACUACAUGUUGCACACUGCUUUGUUUUUACCGUAAGAGAAGGAAACUCUGAAGUUCCAGUUAAAAACUUACCAAAAAACUUUCCAUGCUUCUUCUGUAAUGUAAAGUAAAAGUAGCAACGAUUAAACUCCAAAUGUCCACACUGUCAACAUUCAUAGCUGAAUCCAGUUUGCAGCGAGGUCGGACAGUCGCGCCGAGCGUUUGUUAAACGCACGGUCAACGUCAGGGACGGGGGACCCUGAUUGUUUUAACAUCUUGAUUAAAGUAAUCUGUGUGCGAAGGUACCGCAUCACCCCGGCCAGGCGAGGGACGGGGAAUAUCAUCGAGUCAGCUUUCUUUGAUAUUCAAAAUGACGAAAGACUCGGGAUGAAAUGACCUCAGAAAACUCCGCCUUUGGAAAGCAGCUCUUGCCGCCUCUCCCUUGUCCCCCGCUGUUCCCCCUCAAUUCUGACUUUUUCUAUAUCGACACGUCGUUGCCACCAGCAGGAGAACUGAAAAGACAAAACUUAGCUCCAAACGCCGUGGUUUUCCGGUCAGGCGUUUACCGGGUUUGCCCACUGCUUCGAGCGCUGCUUUUGACACUCGAGCCAGUGAAAGCAGUGGGCGUGCAGGCAGCUGCGGCAGCCCGGAGAUCUCCCCUCUCUCCCGCUCUCCUCUGA